rnacentral:rRNA from 1 species
GACGAACGCUGGCGGCGUGCUUAACACAUGCAAGUCGAGCGGUAAGGCCCUUUCGGGGGUACACGAGCGGCGAACGGGUGAGUAACACGUGGGUGACCUGCCCUUAGCUCUGGGAUAAGCCUGGGAAACUGGGUCUAAUACCGGACAUGACCUCAUGACGCAUGUUGUGGGGUGAAAGCCUUGUGCGGCUAGGGAUGGGCCCGCGGCCUAUCAGCUUGUUGGUGGGGUGAUGGCCACCAAGGCGACGACGGUAGCCGGCCUGAGAGGGCGACCGGCCACACUGGGACUGAGACACGGCCCAGACUCCUACGGGAGGCAGCAGUGGGGAAUCUUGCGCAAUGGGCGAAAGCCUGACGCAGCGACGCCGCGUGAGGGAUGACGGCCU